rnacentral:rRNA from 1 species
UACAGAGGUCUCAAGCGUUGUUCGGAUUCAUUGGGCGUAAAGGGUGCGUAGGUGGCGGGGUAAGUCAGGUGUGAAAUUUCGGAGCUUAACUCCGAAACUGCAUUUGAUACUGCCUUGCUUGAGGACUGGAGAGGAGACUGGAAUUCACGGUGUAGCAGUGAAAUGCGUAGAGAUCGUGAGGAAGACCAGUGGCGAAGGCGGGUCUCUGGACAGUUCCUGACACUGAGGCACGAAGGCCAGGGGAGGCAAACGGG